GCUUAGGAACCGAUCAAGUGGAGAGCACUAUUGUAAUGUGUUUGUCACCAGAGCACUAAAACAGACAGCUGUCUGAGACAAGAUACUUCUUCCACUGGAGACCUCACUCUUUUCACUCACACGCUCGCUGGCUCCUGGUUGCCAUGGAAAAGCCCAGAAAUGGAGCAGAUAACAGUUCAAUGAGGGAGCAGAGACUGGAAGGUCUGGAGGGAGGCAGCAAGUUUCUAGGGCCCGUCCUGUCAAGGCAUCAAGCUCUUUUGAUGUGUGAAAAUGGAAGAGAAGACGGAGUGAGAGGAAAAUGUAUAAAAACAUAAAAUGAGAGAAGAGUAAAUGGGUUGGGGGGGGACUAAUCUGUUGACUGAAGUCAAAUUUGUGUGUGGAAAUGUAACAGCAAUUCAAAAGGAACUGAUAAAAGAAUGAAGAUCUAU